rnacentral:rRNA from 1 species
AUUGAACGCUGGCGGCAGGCCUAACACAUGCAAGUCGAACGAGUGGCGGACGGGUGAGUAAUGUAUGGGAAACUGCCUGAUGGAGGGGGCUAACUACUGGAAACGGUAGCUAAUACCGCAUACCAUCAGUUGUGCCCAGAUGGGAUUAGCUUGUUGGUGGGGUAACGGCUCACCAAGGCGACGAUCCCGAGCUGGUCUGAGAGGGUGAUCGGCCACACUGGGACUGAGACACGGCCCAGACUCCUACGGGAGGCAGCAGUAGGGAAUAUUGGACAAUGGACGAAAGCCUGAUCCAGCAAUGCCGCGUGAGUGAAGAAGGCCUUCGGGUUGUAAAGCACUUUUAGUAGAGAAGCGGUAUCUACAGAAAAAGCAACGGCUAACUACGUGCCAGCAGCCGCGGUAAUAC